AGACGUUUGUGAACAUACAAUUGGCUUCAUGUUCAUAAUUCUUUCCAUGGGCCCAUGCAGGGACUGAGAAUAGUCGGACGGCUAGAUAUUUAUUAACAAAUGGGGGCUCGUCUUUCUGGGAACAUCUACAGACAGGCAGGAGCAUGGACCUCUCCAGGCCAGCAGACAUGAGUACAUUUAGGGCACAGAUUAUUUAUUACUCUGAGCUGAAUAGUUGAAUGUAUAAAUAAAUAGUAAAUUAAAGAUUUUAAUAUCAAAACAAUCUUUUAAAAAAAUGUUAAUCAAUUACAAGUUUCCUAUAUCUAGGUCACGACUACCUAUAAAGUCACAGUUUUUGAUGCCAUUGGUAUAAGACAAUCAAUACUGACAGCAUACAGGCAAGUUGUCUGCUGGGCCUAUGCUAUUCUAUAUGUGUAAACCCUUACCUUCAUGUGUUGUGUCAGUCAUUCCCUUGUGAAAAAGAAGUGCACUUAAGUAUACUUUUAUAAAGUGCACUUAUUGCGAAGUUAAUAUACUUUAAAAGAACACACAUAAGUGCUACUUAAUUGUAAUGUUUUUGCCGCUUAAGCACAUUGUAUUUAUAAUUAAUUUAAAAUGUAUCACAUUUUAAAGUUAUAUUAACUGCAUUAAGUGGAACUUUUGAGUGAUUUUAAGUGGGACACUUAAGUGGGACUUUUUAAAAUGUACUUUCAUAAUUGCUUCUAGUGUCUUUAAAAUAUAGUUAAAGUGUACUACUAAUGUACUGACAAGCAAUUAACAUUAACUAAAAUAUACUUUAAUGUCACUUAAGGAUACACUGUAGUGUGAAUUAAAUGUUUUCAACCACCUAAAAUAAUAUUAUUUGUAAUUGAUUUCAAAUAUUAUACAGUUUAAAAUUACAUUAAAUGCAAUUAGUUGAACUUUUGAGUGAUAUUUUUGAACCACCUAAUUGGGACUUUAGUACAUUUUAUAUGUACUUUGAAAUAUGAAAUGAUGUGAACUAAAAUAUAUUUCAAUGUCAUUUCAGUGUACACAUAUCUCUGACAAUGAAGUUGAAAUGUAGUAUAUUUAAAAUUGUAUUAAAAAAAAAAAAAAAAAAAAAAAAAAAAAAA